rnacentral:lncRNA from 1 species
AGAGAGAGAGAGAGAGAGAGAUGGAUGAUGGAGAUGGAAAGAAAGGGAAAGACAAAGAAGGGGUCCAAAUCCAAGUUCUAAAGAGUAGUAAAAGGAGGAGCAAAAGAAAGAAAAAUCAAAGGAAACAAAAACCUGCAAAAAGGGUAGAGAAGGUGGGGGCUAUAUGCACUCCAACUAUUUGACAAAAGGUCUAAACGAAAGAACCCAUCAGUUAUAUGAAAGCACGCGGAUCAAAGCAUGAAUUGGGGGGUUGUUCAUCUUUUUCUUCUAAUUCUUCUCCUUCCCCAUCAUCAUCAUCAUCAUCUUCAUCCUUCUCCUUUCUCUGCUUCCUCUUUGGUUCCUUUCAAGUUCACUCCUUUUUUCUCUCUUUCUUAGUGUAUUGUAGUUUUCAAGGAGGAGGGAGGGAGUGUUCUGUUUAUCGGGUUUUCAGGUGCUUGGGGAAGAGAAAUUGGGAAGACUGAGAGAGGAAGAGCAUGCUUCUUCUUAUCCUGCGCCACCCAUCCACCCACCCACCCAUUGUUUUUACUUUUAAGCAUUGCAUAUAUGGCGAUUCCGUUGCAGCUUUAAACUCUUUGCAAUGCCAUCACCCUAUAUUGAAGAAAACACAGUAAUUAUCACACCCAAAACGAAACCAAUAAUGGUAAUGAACAGAGUAAAGGCUAAAGAUAAAAAAGAUUGUUACUUUUUUUAUCCCUUUAAGACUUUUUUUUGUAUGUAUUGUUUAUUGACAAAAUAAUUGUUUUAAAAUCUUAAAUGGGGGUUUUCGAAACCAACCAACUAACCCAAGUCAAGUGUGUGUGUGUG